UUCAUAAAUCUGCUGAAAAAUCACAAUGAUUUCGAUGUGGCAGAGUUGCAAGCAGGAAUCUAUAGAUUUUUUUCGUGGUGUAUUACAGAUUUCUGACUAUUUGCUGCAAAUAUUGCAUAAGACGUUUUUUUUAAACGCGUUUCACCCCAGAAGGGCCUGCCUGAAAACAUACCCUGCAGUAAAAUCACUGUAGUCCAGGCUUUUUGUCACAUACACAGAGCACAGAUUUUUUUGAUUAUGUAGAUUUCUUUUCCUACUGCAGUUUCAUAUGCAAAGCAUGCAUCCGCCACAUCCAUGCUAUCUCCUAAAGCAGUCAUUCUGAAACCCAAUCUGGGGACAGUGCAGACUAAAUAAAAUUUCAUUUUGAUUUGGCCUCCCGCUGUGAAUAGGACUGCUUUGUCUCAGCCGACAGAACCAGCAAGUCAGAAAGGAAGGGAGACUUUUGGAUCAGAACAGAUGAUUGAAAUGGAGACUGGAAAUGCCUGAUCAUGUUGAAAGACACCGGAUCCGUCUCUGGAAAUAACUACCACAAAAUCAGAUUCCAUAAUCAUGAAAGAAACACCUGUGGGGCGCCAAGCAUCUCUCUUUGCAGAUAAAAGAUCACCGCCCUGGAGCAACAAGGGGAGAAGGCCACCUUUACUGGGUCCUGUAUAGGGCACUGCCUUGGCUGAUGCUUCCUUCCCGCUCUGUGAGACAGAGUAUCAGACCCCACAAGAAGCUGCAUAACCCCCCUCCCCCCGCUUUCUCGGAGCCUGGGUCCACCCAGGUCUGACUGACUCCAAAGCAAGACUUGUUUACAGCAUGGAUAUGAUCCAACGGGUGGGAGAGACCGGUCAACAUUGAAAUCCAGAUGCAAUAAUAAAGCCUCAACCAAGCGCUGCAGGCAGCUGGAGAAGGAGGCGACGCAACAAUACGGAUGGUCACAGAGGCCACCCCUCAUCUCCAAUAUCCUUUUCCAAAACAAGUAUGAGCGGCUCUACAAGCUUAUGGGAGCUAUACAUAAGCUGCUUAGAGAGCCGCUCAUACUACUGGGCACCGAGGACUCUAAUUACUCGGCAAGUAUUUCCCCCUGCACUCUAAACAAAACCACGGUCUUCUACCUCUUUCCCACGAAGCCCCUCAGACUGAGACACCACGGAGGUCACCACUCGCCUUCAGGAGCUGGCUGGUCACUAGCUCCUGCAUGCCCUCUGCCCUUGAGGGUCGUGUACAGAACCUUCCCAAUAAGAGCACAGUGUCCCUCUGUUCACAUAUGGCUGGGGGUUGUAAUAUAUACAUUUUAAUGCAUAUUUGCUGAGCUACCACUAUGUACCCAGCACUGUGCACUCCUUGUCUCUCCCUGGAGCAUGCAUGGAGAUUUCAGAGCAGUCCUCUCUCUGAAUACGGAGCGAGAGAGAGACCCUCACUGGCCUGAGGCUCCCUUAAGGCUUAUGUCACAAUGCACCUGCUGAAAAUGCAAGCAGGAGCCCUAAACUACAUCUAAGCCACUUUACUUUCCUACCCAAUGAUGCUCUCUACCUGGGUUCCGAGAAGCAGACACAGAGAUAG